GAAUCAACUUUUGGAGAAAGUUGAAUCAGUAUUUGAGCUUUAAGAGGGUAUUUUAACACAAACAUCAGUCCUUCUACUUAAGUUUGGUCGAGCUCGCACAAAGAAUGGCUGCUAUGUUGAACUUCCUCCUGGGAUCUACACUAAGAAGUGAGUCCAACAUUAGCAGGGUCUCUUUCCUUUAUCUGGAUUCACUUUAGCAUUCACAGUCACGUGAAGCUUGUUAUUAACUCGAUAAGUCAACCCAGGGUUUCAGCUGAGCGUUCACAUGAAACACAUGGUGUUGGCAGCAUCUGAUCAAUCAUAUUCAUGGAGACGUGUAUCAGCAACAGAGCAGCUGAGUUUGCAGAAGGAAGUCAAACUAAACCACAGGAACAAUAUGAGGAGAUUACACACAUAAUAAAAUACUAGCAGUAACACAGCUGCUGCAGACAAAUCAGUCGUGUGAUGGUGUGUGAGAGGAGAAGGACUGUAAAGGAGUUUGGUGUUAAAAGCUCUGUAUGAAUGUGGGAGACUUUGAAUAAAAGGCAGCAAAAUUGCUGACUGUGAAAGUCACCAGACUUAUCA